GAUGAACGCUGGCGGCGUGCCUAAUACAUGCAAGUCGAGCGAACAGACGAGGAGCUUGCUCCUCUGACGUUAGCGGCGGACGGGUGAGUAACACGUGGAUAACCUACCUAUAAGACUGGGAUAACUUCGGGAAACCGGAGCUAAUACCGGAUAAUAUAUUGAACCGCAUGGUUCAAUAGUGAAAGACGGUUUUGCUGUCACUUAUAGAUGGAUCCGCGCCGCAUUAGCUAGUUGGUAAGGUAACGGCUUACCAAGGCGACGAUGCGUAGCCGACCUGAGAGGGUGAUCGGCCACACUGGAACUGAGACACGGUCCAGACUCCUACGGGAGGCAGCAGUAGGGAAUCUUCCGCAAUGGGCGAAAGCCUGACGGAGCAACGCCGCGUGAGGGAUGAAGGUCUUCGGAUCGUAAAACUCUGUUAUUAGGGAAGAACAAAUGUGUAAGUAACUAUGCACGUCUUGACGGUACCUAAUCAGAAAGCCACGGCUAACUACGAG
rnacentral:rRNA from 1 species